rnacentral:rRNA from 1 species
UACGAACGCUGGCGGCAUGCCUAACACAUGCAAGUCGAACGAGACCUUCGGGUCUAGUGGCGCACGGGUGCGUAACGCGUGGGAACCUGCCCUUAGGUUCGGAAUAACUCCCCGAAAGGGGUGCUAAUACCGGAUAAUGUCUUCGGACCAAAGAUUUAUCGCCUUUGGAUGGGCCCGCGUUGGAUUAGCUAGUUGGUAGGGUAAAAGCCUACCAAGGCGACGAUCCAUAGCUGGUCUGAGAGGAUGAUCAGCCACACUGGGACUGAGACACGGCUCAGACUCCUACGGGAGGCAGCAGUGGGGAAUAUUGGACAAUGGGCGAAAGCCUGAUCCAGCAAGGCCGCGUGAGUGAUGAAGGCCUUAGGGUUGUAAAGCUCUUUUACCCGGGAUGAUAAUGACAGUACCGGGAGAAUAAGCUCCGGCUAACUCCGU